rnacentral:tRNA from 1 species
GGCCUCGUAGCUCAACUGGUAGAGCGUGCGCGUACAAAGCGUAGGCGGCGUCCAUGCUUUGGUUCGAAUCCCAUCGAGGCUG